rnacentral:RNase_P_RNA from 1 species
UAUAAAGGUCCACCUGUCGAUCCGGUCUUCAGACCGGGUAGGAAAGUCCGGGCAGCGCAGAGCACCGCACCACCUAACGGGUGGGGUCUCGUCUCGCUUGCAGCGAGACGGGAUACGGAAAGUGCCACAGAGAACGAUACCGCCUCGCUGUAAGCGAGGUAAGGGUGAAAACGUGAGGUAAGAGCUCACGCGUUGUAUGGCAACAUGCAGCGGGGAAAACCCUGCGGGCUGUAAGACCAAAUAGGUCUGCUGCAGCGGGAGUUGCUCGCUCCCCUCUCGCUGUAAGCGAGACGGCAGAUGGGUAGGUCGCUGAAGGGGCCGUGUGAACGUCUCCGCAGAUAAAUGACAGGAUAAUACAGAACCCGGCUUAUGGGCCUUUAUGGUAU